rnacentral:rRNA from 1 species
GAUCGAACUGAAGAGUUUGAUCCUGGCUCAGAUUGAACGCUAGCGGCAUGCCUUACACAUGCAAGUCGAACGGCAGCGGACCUUCGGGUGCCGGCGAGUGGCGAACGGGUGAGUAAUACAUCGGAACGUACCCAGUAGCGGGGGAUAGCCCGGCGAAAGCCGGAUUAAUACCGCAUACGCCCUACGGGGGAAAGGGGGGGAUCGUAAGACCUCUCACUAUUGGAGCGGCCGAUGGCUGAUUAGCUAGUUGGCGGGGUAAAGGCCCACCAAGGCGACGAUCAGUAGCUGGUCUGAGAGGACGACCAGCCACACUGGGACUGAGACACGGCCCAGA